rnacentral:rRNA from 1 species
AGAGUUUGAUCCUGGCUCAGGAUAAACGCUGGCGGCGUGCCUAAUCAAUGCGAGUCGUGCGGUCCUUCGGGACAGCGGCGUCCGGGUGAGUAACGCGUAGCUAACCUGCCCUAUAAGGUGGGGGAUACCCGCCAGAAAUGGCGGCUAAUACCGCAUAGCUUGACAGCCCGACUGGGGCUGGCAAGAAAGCAGAAAUGUGCCUGAGGAGGGGGCUGCGUCCGAUUAGCUAGUCGGUGGGGUAACGGCCUACCGAGGCGACGAUCGGUAGCUGGUCUGAGAGGAUGGUCAGCCACACUGGGACUGAGACAUGGUCCAGAGCUCUACGGGGUUUAGCAUGAAGGGAUAUUGCGCAAUGGGCGAAAGCCUGACGCAGCAACGCCGCGUGUGGGACGACGCCUCUCGGGGUGUAAACCACUUUUCCCAGGGAAGAAGAAUGUGACGGUACCUGGGGAAGAAGCCUUGGCUAAGUACGUGCCAGCAGCCGCGGUAAUACGUACGAGGCGAGCGUUAUCCGGAAUUACUGGGCGUAAAGCGCGCGCAGGUGGCUUGGUAAGUGAGAUGUGAAAUCUCCCGGCCUAACUGGGAGGGGACAUUUCAGACUGGCAGGCUUGAGGACAGCAGAGGUAGGUGGAAUUCCUGGUGUAGUGGUGAAAUGCGUAGAGAUCAGGAGGAACACCGGUGGCGAAGGCGGCCUACUGGGCUGUCUCUGACGCUGAGGCGCGAAAGCUCGGGGAGCGAACGGGAUUAGAUACCCCGGUAGUCCGAGCCGUAAACGAUGGGUACUAGGUGUUCGUGGUAUCGACCCCACGGGUGCCGGAGCUAACGCGAUAAGUACCCCGCCUGGGGAGUACGGCCGCAAGGUUAAACUCAAAGGAAUUGACGGGGGCCCGCACAACCAGCGGAACGUGUGGUUAAUUCCACGCACCGGCAAAACCUUACCUGGGCUUGACAGGCAC